rnacentral:rRNA from 1 species
GACGAACGCUGGCGGCGUGCUUAACACAUGCAAGUCGAGCGGUAAGGCCCUUUCGGGGGUACACGAGCGGCGAACGGGUGAGUAACACGUGGGUGACCUGCCCUCAGCUCUGGGAUAAGCCUGGGAAACUGGGUCUAAUACUGGAUAUGACUCCACGGUGCAUGUCGUGGGGUGGAAAGCCUUGUGCGGCUGAGGAUGGGCCCGCGGCCUAUCAGCUUGUGGUGGGGGAUGGCCUACCAAGGCGACGACGGGUAGCCGGCCUGAGAGGGCGACCGGCCACACUGGGACUGAGACACGGCCCAGACUCCUACGGGAGGCAGCAGUGGGGAAUCUUGCGCAAUGGGCGAAAGCCUGACGCAGCGACGCCGCGUGA